CUUCCCCCGCUAGCGGCCUCCCUCAAUAGGUGUGGGUGCUGCAGGUGGACAAUAUGGAGGUUCCGGCUGCCGCUGGUGUCAAACGACAAGAUGGGUAGCGAGACAGCCGUCGUGACUUCAGGUAUGUUUGCUUGAGUGUGUCUUUUUUUUCCUUGUGCGCUGCUUCAAUUUCUUUAACUAACCGUCAGCGGAGAAGAAGGUGCCCUGGAUUGAGAAGGUUGGUGAGCACGCUAAGAUGCAACAUACUCUAGGGGCCGCAGUGACCAAAUUAUUAAGAAUAUUAGACUCUGGUGUCGUGAUGCUGUAUACAACAUAUUGAUUGGCAUCAAAUAGUUUCAGGUUUGUUCUUGAAUUCGAUUCAUGCUGUUCAUGGCGUCUGCUUAUAAUCAGGUUUAAAUUUCUGGUGUUUCAUGUAAUUUAUUGUCAACAUUAUGUAUCUUUUCUUCUAUAACCCUUAUUGCUCAAAUCAGAUUUGGUGUCUCCAAUAAGUCCUCAAUCUCAGGCACAUUUAGUUUCAUGUUGAAUGCAUUAUAGCCAAUUCAAUUUAUUUUGUACGUAUAGCUAUUGAUCCUUUAUGAUUCAUUAGAUUGUUGACAAAUUGCAAAAUUAUUCUUUGGUUAUAAUUCUGUGGUUCUCUCUGGCUGCAGACCACUUUUUUUCUCUGCAUACGUGUUCCUUAUGACAAUUAAAGGAUACUAUUUUUUUUAAAUAUUACAGGAGAUGCGUAUAUGUAAGUUUGAAUUUCAGAUAAUACAUGCCAAAUUAAUGUUAUGUCGUGCAUGACAGUGUAGCUCGGCAGGGUAAUGGUGAAGCUUCAUUCUGACGGUCUAGAAGUUUUUGUUUGGUGUUUCCCUCGGCAGGGUAAUGGAGGAAGAUGAGACUUACCCCAGUUUUCAGUGCAUGGUUGGAGAAGAGGAUAAGAGGAGAGGCUUGAAUCUUGAGGUGACAAGGGUAGUCAUCUAGUGCAACUAAAGGUUCAGUUUCAUACUUGUGAUGAUAUUGUUCAGUUUGCCUGGAUGAUUGCCCUUGUACUACUCUUUUAAGAAGGAAGGAGGUAAAUGGAGCAAAAGGCACGAGGAGAAAGGAGUAACGCCAUAGGGACGAUGUUGUCGGCAGCGCCUUUGAAAGGAUUCGCCAUGGAGAAGCUACGGUGGUUGACCAUCUUGCUCGGGAAGUGGGAAGGAUGUCAUUCGAAACGCCCCUAGGUUCUAGGGCGUGCAUCCAUGCGGCGGACGAGGAUGGCCAUGCGGCGGCCGAGGUGGACACAAGGAGUUGGAUUGGGCACUUGCCAAUGCGAGCGUGCCGUUGCUCAAGGUACGAACACCCUGGUUUUGACACAAAGUUUCUUGGAAAGCUGUGCACGGUUGGGACUGUUUCGUGCAUGCGUCAGUGGCAUCCAUGUCGCCGUCGUUUGCUGUUAGUUUUUCAUGGAUUCCAAAUUACUUUCUGUGUUGUUCCUCAAUGCAUGAAUUAUUUUCAAUAUGGACGUGAGUCUGAAAAAUGUGGUAAGGCUAUCACCAUUUUUUUAAACUGCAGAUGUCUGAAGCUGAGAAACAUGAUAUUUUAUUUUCCAUGUUGCUCUAUCUCUGUAUUGUUAGAUCGCGGGAACUUUUAUCACAUAUGUUUGUGUGCAGUAUGCCAAUUUAUCCGUGAUGGCAACCUAACAUUUGGAGGUAACGAUGACCUCACCAGAGUAAGGGGAAAAUUGUUGGAGUGGACGCGCAUCAUGUAGGUGAAACGGGAGAGUUUGUGGUCAUAGCAACUGUGUUCUUCUUACAGUUUUCCUUCUCUGAAUUGCAUCUUUGGUACAUCUAUAUUUAUUAUUUAAUAGCAUGGAGAGAAAGUUGUCAUCGGUAUUUUCAUCAGUUAUGCAAUUGAUUCUGUACAGAGGAAAUGUAUGCACUCUUUUCUCAUUCUUUUACAAUAUAUCCUCCUUUUGAUGUCUUAUCGAACCAACCCAUGCCUCAGCAAUGACACACUUGAGGAGUCUGAACUCCGAAGGAAGGUGACGACGAGUUGAACCCAUGGAAUUAUGAGACACCUGAUGAUGUGUCAAAACCUGUCCUGCAAAAUAAAGGAGCGUUGAGGAUGAUGGCUUUCAUGUUCGCUUGGAUGAUGCUGGUUCCGUGGUGGCCUUUGAUAUGUCAGCCUGCUACAACUACACUUCAGAGGACGAGCGCACAGGAUUACCAGGCACCAUUUCAUCCAAGCUAGAUUGUGACCCCUUUAACUCAUGAUGCCUAUCCCGUCAAGUCCAACAUCAGUUGAAUGUUUGAAACAUUGUCCGACUCACCUAGACACCACAUACGACCUUUGUAUCCGCUAAUAUCUUUUCUGCAAAUCUCUGGUUGAGCUAUUCUCUUUCUUUUCGUAACUUUAUUGAUGAAAAUGCACCGUGUCCACAUAAAUCUCCGGUGUGUUCUUAUCUCUAUAUGGCAUACCUGUUUUUCUAUCUACAAGGCUGUAUAUGUGCUUUCCCAUCAGAAAUAAGAUUAAAUGAGUAAUAGGGGUUGGGGAAGUAACAGAGAGGAUAACAAAUCUAUCUUGUAUACGAGUCCUGAGCUAUGUACAUAUGAGGAGAAUGUGUAAUCACAUGCUUGUUGUUACUCUGUUAAGAGAGAGCUGCUAGCUCAUACUUAAGAGUAAAUGUACUUAACAA